AAGGACUGUCACUGUGCAUCCUGUGUUAGUGCAUCCUAACUAAGCCUUGUUGCAGGAACUCUGCUAAGAUGGCGCCUGCCCGUGUGGUCGCCUUGGUUAUGCGCGCUCUCGUAUUGUUUUUGUUUCUGUGUUUUUCGUUCGUCUUUGGAGACAUGACACGACUCACUUACACAAGGGGAGACUACUACUCCGGACUUUCUUUCACCAACUUUCGCAAAUCCGCUCAGUUUUUUCCCUGAGUUACUCACCGGAGCAGCGACUGCGGUCUUUGGCGCAUGGAGCCGCCACAGAGGGAAGCGAGCCGGCAUCCAGGUGAAACUCCGCAAGAGAGGAUACAGACUGGCGUUUCCGUCCAUCCACCUUGCGAAGCUAUGCUCCCUACCCAACAAAAUGGACGAGCUUCAUCUACUGAUAAAGACCUGUAAAGACUUCGGACGUUCCGCCGCCAUGUGCUUUACGGAGACUUGGCUUUGUGACGCUGUACCCGAUGGAGCCGUCAUGCUUCCCGGCUUCCAUCUUGACAGGGCAGACCGAGACAUGGAAUCAUCGGGGAAAACAGAAGGCGGCGGGAUAUGCUUCUAUAUCAACGAAAACUGGUGUACGGACGUCACGGAGCUCAGCACACACUGCAGCCCGCAUUUGGAGUCGCUGUUUUUGAACUGUAAGCCAUUCUAUUCGUUUUCAUCAUUCAUUCUCGCUGGUGUAUACAUUCCGGCUCAAGCUAACACGAACGCCGCACUGCUAAUGCUCGCCGAACAAGUCAACGAAAUUGAAAAAAAACACCCGGACUCACCCCUCAUUAUUCUUGGGGACUUUUAACAAAGCUAAACUCAACCACGAACUCCCUAAAUACAAGGAGCACAUCGACUGUCCUACCAUGGAAAAUAAGAUUUUGGACCACUGCUACACUACGCGAAACAACACAUACCGGGCCAAACCUCGUGCAGCACUGGGGUCAUCUGAUCACUGCUUAAUUCACUUAAUACUGACAUACAGGCAAGAACUUAAAUGCCUACAGUGAAAACAGUGACAAAUGAAGCAAAGAUGGAACUUCAAAGUUGUUCAGACUGCACAGACUGGAGUGUCUUUGAAAAUUCAGCGGGCAGCCUGGAUGAAUUUACGGACACUGUCACAUCCUAUAUCAGUUUCUGCGAAGAGGUUUGUGUACCAACAAAGUCAUUUCGCAAUUUCAAUUUCAAUUUCGCCGUGGUUCACUGCCAAACAUUAGCAACUUCGCCAAGCUAAAGAGGACGCAUAUCAAAGUGGGGGCAGGGGCCUGUAUAAUCAAGCUAGAAACCAGCUGACUAAAGAAAUUAACAUUGCAAAGAGGAACUAUGCAGCAAAGUUGGAAAAACAGUUUAGCGCUAACGACUCUAAAUCAGUCUGGCAUGCAUUCCAAUCGCUGAAACUACAACAACAAACUCCGACUGCAAGGGACAAUCAAAACUGCUGAAAGGAUUGCUGGUACCCCCCUACCCACCCUUGAGGACUUGCAGGCUGCCAGAACUAAGACAAGAGCGUGCAAAAUCCUCUUGGACCCUCCACAUCCCGGUCACCGGCGCUUCCGGCACCUUCCCUCAGGCCAAAGACGCCGUACAAGAAGCUGCUCUGCGCGUUACGACCACGCAGGACAAAGACGCCGCGCAGGACGUUGAGCACCUGUCUCCAAUCAGCCUCACCACCACCGGUAUAUAAGCCUGCCUGUUCCAGGAAAUCCUCGCCAAAUGAUUGCAGUUAUUUACAGUGUGUUUUCCCCCGUGUUCCUGAUCCACGUCAUUCCUGCCGCCAAGCCAGCCGACUGUGCUCACCACUGCCUGCCACCUGUCCACGCCACCCCUGCCAGCCCACCUAGGACCACCGCCAUUACCUUUCCUCAAUAAACUGUUCAUCAUUUUACAUCUGUCUCCGCCUGCUCUUGGAUCCAGCUACUCCCCAUACGUGACAGCGUUGCAGCCAUAAAAUUCUAAGUUAAUGAUUAUUUGCUAAAAACAAUCAUUAUUAUUAUUA